rnacentral:rRNA from 1 species
UACGUAGGGUGCGAGCGUUGUCCGGAAUUAUUGGGCGUAAAGAGCUCGUAGGCGGUCUGUCGCGUCGGUCGUGAAAACUUGGGGCUUAACCCUGAGCUUGCGGUCGAUACGGGCAGACUAGAGGUAUGCAGGGGAGAACGGAAUUCCUGGUGUAGCGGUGAAAUGCGCAGAUAUCAGGAGGAACACCGGUGGCGAAGGCGACACCCUGGACUCAUACUGACACUGAGGUGCGAAAGCGUGGGGAGCAAACAGG